rfam:Caprimulgus carolinensis contig13457, whole genome shotgun sequence.
GGAUUUUCUAAAAUCCAUCAACAGUAAAAAAAAAAA